GGUUUAUGGCCACAGUGAAACACCAGUUCCUGUACAACAACUAAAAUUAAGCAACAUUGAGCCUGGUCAGUACUUAGAUGGGUGAUAGCUUGGGAAUACCAAGUGCCGUAAG